UGGAAAAGUGGGAACCUGGUUUGUAUAAUUUCCGAGGAGUGCCAUGUCCUGGAAUAAGCAUGGUGGUGAAUCUGGAGGUUUCGUCCACACCAGGAAUAAUGCUAAGGAAGUUUUGCAUCCUGUCAGAUAAGUGAAGCCAUCUACCCCUUACCCUCCAUUCACAUCUCAGGUAAUUAUUUCCACCUGCCCCAAGUCCCCAGAAGAGGAAAUUCUUGAUGGAGGGAAUAUCUUUUUGUGGUCAGGGAUUUCCCCAGA
rnacentral:lncRNA from 12 species